UACGUAGGAGACGAGCGUUGUCCGGAGUUACUGGGCGUAAAGGGUGCGCAGGUGGCGGCGCGCGUGGGGGGGUGAAAUCGCCCGGCUUAACUGGGCGGGGGGCCUUCCAGACGGCGUGGCUUGAGCAGCGGAGGGGGACGUGGAAUUCCGGGUGGAGCGGUGAAAUGCGUAGAGAUCCGGAGGAACACCGACGGCGCAGGCAGCGUCCUGGCCGCUUGCUGACACUGAGGCACGAAAGCUGGGGGGAGCAAACAGG
rnacentral:rRNA from 1 species